AGUGUCUGGCAGCACUGUGUUCCUGUUAGAGCCACCAGCACAAGCACCAGACGAUGCUGAUCCAGGUGAAGGCCCCAGUGCAGCAGCAACAGCACAUGAUGGAGACGAUGAUGAGGAGGAGACCAUCUCUCUGGAUUCCAGAAGGCAUGAGGACCCAGAUGCUAUACAGUGGGAAAACCAGCCUGGCAACAUAAGCUCACAAGCUAUCAGAAAGUUGUAUGGCAACCACCUCCGGCGCCAAAUAGAACUGGCAGACAUAGACAUUCAGUACAAGAAGAAAAAGAUGGAAAAUCUUGCACUGGAGUCCGAAAUAAAAAGAGGACAAUUAGGAAACUGGACCUUGAAAUAAAAAAACUUGAGAGGGAGCUCCAAGAAGAUGACACAGCUCAAAAUAAAAAUUAGGUAUAUUCUCGUAAAGUCAAGUGAGCCAUGACAUAUGAGCUCUUAUUGUGAGCACACAGGACGGUGGCAUCUUUCUAAGGUUUUUUUAUUUUCCCAGCAAUCAGUACAACCAAGUCAUCGUUAUAAGGCAUCGCCCUCUUUUGCCCACCCCCCAGCACAAGGUGUGGCCACUAGCCUAUAUGAAGGCCCAAAAUUGUGUAUUCCUUUCUGCUCUGACAAUGGCAUGCCCAUUCGUGCGAGAUGUGGUGGAUGAAGAAGCACUUGUGCUGAGGAGAGCCUUCAGGCGAGAAAGGGUCUUCAGGGACCGGUUGGACCCACUGGCCUUCCCUGAUGACCAUCUAUAUGAAAGAUACAGGUUUUCUGCAGAUGGCAUCAGGUAUCUAUGCAGACUACUGGGUCCCAGGAUUAAGCACCGCACUGCACGGAGCCAUGCACUGAGUGUGGAGCAAAUGGUUUGUGUGGCCUUGCGCUUUUUUGCUAGUGGAGCCUUCCUGUACUCAGUGGGGGAUGCAGAACAGCUGAACAAGGCCACAAUUUGCCGCACAAUAAGGAGUGUGUGUCUGGCUAUCAAAGCAUUAGCAGAUGUCUUCAUCUCCUUCCCUGGCCACAGAAGACUCUGUGACAUCAAAGAGGAGUUCUAUAGGAUUGCAGAUGGUCUGCAAUGCUGACUGUGUGAUCAGCAAUGUUGUGGCAAAAUGGCCUGGCUCAGUCCAUGACUCCAGAAUCUUUCGGGCCUCUGAAAUCUAUC